rnacentral:rRNA from 1 species
GGAGAUUUUGUUACUUUGAGUAAAUUAGAGUGUUCAAAGCAAACAGUUAAAGCAUUUUACUGCGUUUGAAUACUACAGCAUGGAAUAACAAAAUUGAACAAGUCAAAACUCUGUUCCUUUUUCUUAUUUUGGCUUAGUUACGAUUAAUAGGAGUAGCUUGGGGGCAUUUGUAUUCAGAUGUCAGAGGUGAAAUUCUUAGAUUUUCUGGAGACAAACAACUGCGAAAGCAUUUGCCUAAAAUACUUCCAUUAAUCAAGAACGAAAGUUAAGGGAGUGAAGACGAUCAGAUACCGUCGUAAUCUUAACCAUAAACUAUGCCGACUAGGUUUUGGAUGAAAGAUUUUUAAAUAAGAAAAUUCCUUUUGGAAAUUUCUUAGAUUGCUUCCUUCAGUACCUUAUGAGAAAUCAAAGUCUUUGGGUUCUGGGGCGAGUAUUCGCGCAAGCGAGAAAGUUAAAAGAAUUGACGGAAGGGCACCACCAGGCGUGGAGCUUGCGGCUUAAUUUGACUCAACACGGGGAAACUCACUAGUUUAAGACAAGAGUAGGAUUGACAGAUUAAUAGCUCUUUCUUGAUUUCUUGGAUGGUGAUGCAUGGCCGUUUUUAGUUCGUGAAUAUGAUUUGUCUGGUUAAUUCCGAUAACGAACGAGAUCUUAACCUGCUAAUUAGCGGCGAAUACGUUAUAUUCCUACUUGAAAUUGAAUAUAGC